UGCGAGUCAUUGUUAGCAAUACAAGGCGGACGGCUCAGUAACACGUAGUCAACCUAACUCGUGGACGUGGAUAACCUCGGGAAACUGAGAAUAAACCACGAUAGAUCAUAGUGCCUGGAAUGGCUUAUGGUCCAAACAGUUUACUGCCAUGGGAUGGGACUGCGGCCUAUCAGCUUGUUGGUGAGGUAAUGGCCCACCAAGGCGAUUACAGGUACGGGCUCUGAGAGGAGUAGCCCGGAGAUGGGUACUGAGACACGGACCCAGGCCCUAUGGGGCGCAGCAGGCGAGAAACCUUAGCAAUGUGCGAAAGCACGACUGGGUCAGUCCGAGUGAUUCCUGAUAAAGGAGUCUUUUGCCUGUCCUAAAAGCACAGGUGAAUAAGGGGUGGGCAAGUCUGGUGUCAGCCGCCGCGGUAAUACCAGCACCUCGAGUGGUCAGGACGUUUAUUGGGCCUAAAGCAUCCGUAGCCGGCUCUGCAAGUCUUCGGUUAAAUCCACCUGCUCAACAGAUGGGCCGCUGGAGAUACUACAGAGCUAGGGAGUGGGAGAGGCAGACGGUAUUCAGUGGGUAGGGGUAAAAUCCUCUGAUCCAUUGAGGACCACCAGUGGCGAAGGCGGUCUGCCAGAACACGUUCGACGGUGAGGGAUGAAAGCUGGGGGAGCAAACCGGAUUAGAUACCCGGGUAGUCCCAGCUGUAAACGAUGCAAACUCGGUGAUGCAUUGGCUUAUGGCCAAUGCAGUGCCGCAGGGAAGCCGUUAAGUUUGCCGCCUGGGAAGUACGGACGCAAGUCUGAAACUUAAAGGAAUUGGCGGGGGAGCACCACAAGGGGUGAAGCCUGCGGUUCAAUUGGAUUCAACGCCGGGAA
rnacentral:rRNA from 1 species